GGAUAUAGCGCAGUUGGUUAGCGCGCCAGGUUGUGGCCCUGGAGGCCGAGGGUUCGAAUCCCCCUAUC
rnacentral:tRNA from 1 species